ACCGGUCGGAGCUCGAGCGGGUCCAUCGGUUUCGGUUUCGAUUUCUCCGGGGUAUUCCGUUGGAUGAUGAGCGAUGGAGCCCGAUCGCGACACACGCGGUGUACAAUUACAGAACACUUUCAAAAAGGCGUAACAAAAUACGUAAACGCGGGGUCCGCCGUGACAGUGUCGCACGUGAACGUCCGAUGACACAAACGCACCGCUGAGAUGCCCCGCGGAGGGCAGUCGUCGCCUUUGAAAAAAACACUCCUCAAAUGUGCACUUGCAGUCCUAGUUUAAGUUGCAGCUCGCAAAUCGAGCACUUAGUUCGGAAUUCAAAGUUGUAGUUUUAGCGAUCCAGUGUUUGGGUUUGUAACCCUGUAGUGCUAGUGUGACUCCUUACUUCUUAGUGUUUUUAUUUCGUGAAAAUGGAUUACCCAAAACACAUAUUUUUCGCCCUAAGUCUUUGCCUAUGCGUGAGAAACGGAGAGUCGAACAUUUACAUACUGGAGGAUGCCAUUUACAGGAACAGCCAAGAACUAUCUGGGAACAGGUAUAAACGACAAACCCACCCUGCCUCUACAUUUGCCAAGUUCUCGGGAGCGGAUGACGUAUUCGGUCCUCUAGUCGGUCACGUGCGGCCGCCCCUCGACCAAGGCGAGCACCGCUCGGAUUUCAACGGGAAUCUCACGCCGAACCUGGCCGACAGCGUGGAUCUAACCCAACCCCAGGGCCCACCAAACGGUCUCGUCGACUACCUAACGCCGCCAAGUCCCAACGUCCAAACCCCAGCCUUCAACCCCACCUCUCACACGCUCAAUCCUGCUCCACUACCCCCACCCUUCGCACCCACAACCACCCCCGACUUCUCGAACUUAUUCGGCUCAGCCUCGCAUUUCUCGUCCUCUUUCCAAGCGCCGGCACCGAGCCAUGGUCCACAGUCGCGUGAUCUCAAUGGAAUACACAUUGAUCAACCCUUCCAACCCACCCUCCUGAACGAGGGAGGGAAAUGGGACCUAGGUUACGACGCGAGCGAGAUCCUCAAUCCGCCCGUGGAGAAUUCCGCUCCCUCGCGACACCUAGAAGACAGCUUGGGGCCACCUCCAAAUUUCAGGCGGCCUUCUAGUCUUCCCGCGAGCAACCCAACCUUCGCAGCUAGUCAAAACGCCCCCGUGAGUUUCAGUAACCAUAACCAGUUCGCCGACUACAACCAGGGUCACAACAACUUCCCCACGACAUCGCCUUUCGGGCCCCCUCCUCAGAGUCCCCACCACGCCCCACAUUCGGAUAUCGUGUGGGGGGUGCCAAAAUCCAACGGCAUCCCGCAACCUAGCAACCCGUUCACCAGCGGUUUGGAACCUCCCGGUUUCAGACAGCAGCCGGUGAAUUCGUUCAACAGCAACCUGGGGCCGAAGAAUCUGGGGUCUCUCGGGGCUGCAUCCCAAGCGACGUUUACGACAAAAGCCCCGCCCCCUUUCAGCCAGUUUGACUCUUUCGUCCCGCAGGGCUCCGUGCGCGACAACGGGUUCCUGAUACCCCGAGUGAUUUCGGGACGCAACCGCAGCAUACCAAGCGUCAGUCCGAGUCUCUGGUCCCUCCUUACAAGUUCUUCGGGUCUCCGGGGACGAGGAGCUUCCAGAAGAAGCGGCAGAGCGUCGAUGGAUUGGGUGGCAAGAGGUGGGCCUAUAAAAGGCGGAGUGACGACGAAGAUGCUGACUCGGAAGAGACGGAGGGCGGAGCUAAGAUCCAUGCCCCGGUUUUUUCGUACGUCAAGACCGACAAGAACGGGCAUUUUAAAUGGGGGGUGAGACAAGGUCUGCCAUCAGCUUUCACGGCCAAGUAAACAGUAAACUGAUGCAUGUGGAUACAGGCGCGCGUAAUAAAUGUAAAUUGGACCUUGAUGUAAAUGUUGGGCAGUUGGUGCUGAUUAUUGAAAUCGAUAGACAAAGAAUUAGACAAAGAAGACAUAGGGAGUUUGGAACGAGCCUAUUGGUUGAAAGGGGUGGUUCUAGUAGACUGAGGGAAAAAUUAAUGGACUAAGUAUGCACUGGAAAAAACACACUGGAUCUAGAGUCCAGACUCUUGAAAACAUUGACAAGAAAAAUGACUCUUGAUUCAAUCAGAUUUAAGCUUAAAUCAAAAGGAAAUCUGCUCAAAUUAAGAGGCUAGGUUCUUGAUUUAAGCUUUAAUCUGAUUGAAUCAAGAGUCCUUUUUCUUGUCAAUGUUUUCAAGAGUCUGGACUCUAGAUCCAAUGUGUUCCCCCCCCCCCCCAGGGUAAGGUCUCUUGUGGGUUGCUGUUAGUUAGUCUAUAACCUACCUCCUUUGUCCAUUGCAACCUCCUGUUUCAACCAGUUGGAUCCCUUCGCAUCCUUUUUGUCUUCGUUGUCUAUAGCUUUGUCGAUCCAUUUCAAUAGUUAUCGGCCCGCUGAAGGUGACCGGAUUCUGUGUUGCUUUGUCGGAGUGUGGGUACAACGUGUGCAUUUUCUUGCUGCUAUGCAUCCUUACAGAUUUAAGUUUUUUCUAAGACAAAAGUGUGGGGAAAGCAAUAGAGAAAAAUGGGGGCAGACUAUAUACAUCCUUUUGCUUACGAGAGACAGUAAUAUAUCAUACUUAGGCAAUGCGCACUUUGAUUUGGGGAGAAAUUUGGAAAUGUAUCAAUCACCAAGCGCCAUAAAUUCAUCCACCAACAAUGUAAAUUAAGUAUAUUUUUUGUAAGUAUAUAUGAAUGGUUUUUUUUUUGUAAAAAUGUUCGUUUCUAAUGUUUGUUACAUGCUGUAAAGAACAGCGCAGUGAUUAUUGGAAAGUAUCUCAAAAAGUUACAAGUCAAGAAAAAUGAAGUGGGAAAGAGUGCAGUCAUUUCCUUCAUCUCUUAUUAAAGUAAUCACAAAAUUUUGUUGAAUUUUUUUCGAGCUAUUCGCUCUGUAAGCCUCAAACGAUGAGAGUAUCUACUGAUUUGGUGCCUCUAUAUUUACAAAUAUUAAGUCAUUGGAUCUAACGUGAAAGUGAUUACUUUUAAUCGCACCAGGUACUUGUUCUGCAUGUGAUUUCGGAGAUUUCACCUUAACCUGUACACGUAAAGAUUUAUAAAAUACUUUUCUCUUUAACUGUCACUUUGUAAUAUGAACAGAAAAAAAAUCGAAUAACUUGUUGAAAAUAAUGUUUGGCUAUUUUCUUCUUCUUCUGUCCUUCAUUCCUGACGCAAAGUACGAAGAAACACUGAAGAUUAAAAGUUUAUAUCCUAGAUAAAAGAUACACAAUGUAAGAAUAAGUUACAGAGAGGAAAUGAGAGAGUAGAGAGGAAAUAAAAGAGAAAGAGAGGAACAAACUAAGUGCUCUCAUGAGUUAGAAGAGCACAAUGAAAAUUAUUUGAUAACAGCAGACUUAUGAGGAUUGUGUAUGGAUCCCAUAUGCAGCAAUAGACUUGAAAGGCCGACGAUAAACUUUUAAAAUCAUCCAGUUUUUCACUUUUGGAGCGAAAUCUUGGUCUUUUCAAAAAUUCAAGUCAACCAAGGAACCAAUGUCCACAGGCGGAAAUGCACUAUUUUUCUUAAUAAUUAUCUCAAUGCUAAAACGGUAGACGUUAUUCAAAUCAAAAUUAAGGAUAUUUUGUCAAAAGCAAAUGAACUUUCCUUGUUGUGAGUGGAGAAGACAGUUGCAUUUCAUUGGCAAUGCUGCAAUGUUUUAAUGCAAGCAUAUGCCUACUUUUGCGACGCAGAAUGCGAUGAGAAUAUCAUGUUAAUCUCACUGGCGUGGCGUGCUUUGCGGUGUAUCGAUUGGUCUGCCAUUUAAACAUAUGGAAAAGGAUCUAUUAAUAUGGGUGUUCGUAACAAACACCUUGGAACCUUGGGGAAUCGACAAUCGAUCAUUCACGCCUCGCCAGUGGUCAGUCUCGCUGCUGUAACAUUACCGUCUCUCCCGCGUAUCGUUAGUAUAACUAACUAGGAGUCAAACAAUUUUAAAAUUUUUUUUUUGACAAAAGUUCACUGCAAUUUUUCACCGAACUACAGUUAAAAGUGUAAGCUGCAGCCGAUGAAUUUCAGAAAAAAAUAAACUUUCUUAAUUUUUCAUUCAUCUUUGUUUCAAUAAAUGCUCGUCAGAAAACGGCGAGAAAAAUUGAGGAACGUAACAUCUAAUUAGGCAAUUUAUUGCGGCUGGCAGUAUAAAUUUGAAGAGCAUAAAGUUGUUUGCAAUUAUAUUUUGUGAGCGUUAAGCUUCACGUUUUCUAAGUUGAGAGGUGAUCCACACCUGUUCUGCUUAUCAAGUUUCCACCAUACCGAGUUUUGCCAGAUAGAUUCGUGGGCACGUUAUCUCACAGAUAAGAGCUUAUUACAGGCUCAAAAUUUACUUACUGCGGAAACGAGUCUCCGUGAGAGGCUCUCUCUUAGCUUAGUGGCUUUAACACCCAGACGUGUACUUCAAACGUGCUCCCUUUGUCUGCCGCCCUCGUCUGCUCGUUGUGCAAAAAUUUGAUCUCAGAUAUAUACUAGG
rnacentral:lncRNA from 1 species